rnacentral:rRNA from 1 species
GAUGAACGCUGGCGGCGUGCCUCAUUAUGCAAGUCGAGCGAACGGACGAGAAGCUUGCUUCUCUGAUGUUAGCGGCGGACGGGUGAGUAACACGUGGAUAACCUACCUAUAAGACUGGGAUAACUUCGGGAAACCGGAGCUAAUACCGGAUAAUAUUUUGAACCGCAUGGUUCAAAAGUGAAAGACGGUCUUGCUGUCACUUAUAGAUGGAUCCGCGCUGCAUUAGCUAGUUGGUAAGGUAACGGCUUACCAAGGCAACGAUGCAUAGCCGACCUGAGAGGGUGAUCGGCCACACUGGAACUGAGACACGGUCCAGACUCCUACGGGAGGCAGCAGUAGGGAAUCUUCCGCAAUGGGCGAAAGCCUGACGGAGCAACGCCGCGUGAGUGAUGAAGGUCUUCGGAUCGUAAAACUCUGUUAUUAGGGAAGAACAUAUGUGUAAGUAACUGUGCACAUCUUGACGGUACCUAAUCAGAAAGCCACGGCUAACUACGUGCCAGCAUCCGCGGUAAUACGUAGGUGGCAAGCGUUAUCCGGAAUUAUUGGGCGUAAAGCGCGCGUAGGCGGUUUUUUAAGUCUGAUGUGAAAGCCCACGGCUCAACCGUGGAGGGUCAUUGGAAACUGGAAAACUUGAGUGCAGAAGAGGAAAGUGGAAUUCCAUGUGUAGCGGUGAAAUGCGCAGAGAUAUGGAGGAACACCAGUGGCGAAGGCGACUUUCUGGUCUGUAACUGACGCUGAUGUGCGGAAGCGUGGGGAUCAAACAGGAUUAGAUACCCUGGUAGUCCACGCCGUNAACGAUGAGUGCUAAGUGUUAGGGGGUUUCCGCCCUUAGUGCUGCAGCUAACGCAUUAAGCACUUCGCCCUGGGGAGUACGACCGCAAGGUUG